AGAGUUUGAUCAUGGCUCAGAUUGAACGCUGGCGGCAGGCCUAACACAUGCAAGUCGAGCGGUAGCACAGGAGAGCUUGCUCUCUGGGUGACGAGCGGCGGACGGGUGAGUAAUGUCUGGGAAACUGCCUGAUGGAGGGGGAUAACUACUGGAAACGGUAGCUAAUACCGCAUAACGUCUUCGGACCAAAGUGGGGGACCUUCGGGCCUCACGCCAUCAGAUGUGCCCAGAUGGGAUUAGCUAGUAGGUGGGGUAAUGGCUCACCUAGGCGACGAUCCCUAGCUGGUCUGAGAGGAUGACCAGCCACACUGGAACUGAGACACGGUCCAGACUCCUACGGGAGGCAGCAGUGGGGAAUAUUGCACAAUGGGCGCAAGCCUGAUGCAGCCAUGCCGCGUGUGUGAAGAAGGCCUUCGGGUUGUAAAGCACUUUCAGCGAGGAGGAAGGGUAGUGUGUUAAUAGCACAUUGCAUUGACGUUACUCGCAGAAGAAGCACCGGCUAACUCCGUGCCAGCAGCCGCGGUAAUACGGAGGGUGCAAGCGUUAAUCGGAAUUACUGGGCGUAAAGCGCACGCAGGCGGUUUGUUAAGUCAGAUGUGAAAUCCCCGCGCUUAACGUGGGAACUGCAUUUGAAACUGGCAAGCUAGAGUCUUGUAGAGAGGGGUAGAAUUCCAGGUGUAGCGGUGAAAUGCGUAGAGAUCUGGAGGAAUACCGGUGGCGAAGGCGGCCCCCUGGACAAAGACUGACGCUCAGGUGCGAAAGCGUGGGGAGCAAACAGGAUUAGAUACCCCGGUAGUCCAA
rnacentral:rRNA from 1 species